CAAAUUGAAUAGUUAUAAUUUAUUCCUUUGUUGAACUUGGAAAUUUCCAAGUCCAUUUAGCAACACAUUUAUACUCAAUAUUGGGUAUUUCUGAAGACAUGUACUUUUGUUUGAACAACUAAAACUAGUAAUUUAUGGAGUUUCUUUCAGGAUUGGAUACAAAAGUGCAUAGGAACACUGCCUAUACCAUGGGAGCACAGUCUAAGGAGCUAACAGACAUAUAAAAAGAUAACUUUUUAUACAUAGGGAUCACUUUUGUUUUUCUGCACCUGAAGUAUAUAGAAGUUCCUGGUCCAGGGAUCAAAUUCACACCAAGGCAGUGACAGUGCUGGACUCUUAGCCCAGUGAGCCACCAGGGAACUCCCAUUGGGCUCAAAUUCAAUCCGUUUAGUGAAGUGGAUAGAUUAUGUACUAUUUCACUAGUGGACUGAAAAAGAAAACUGAUGGUUUUUUUCAAUUCAGUUUGUAUUAAUUGUGGUUCAGGUAGUAAUAGGAACUCCAUACAAUAGUUCUAAAGCAAAUCUAGUAUACAUGAUAAUGGAAAUUUUAAUAAAUACAAUGAAAAAGGAAUUAAUCCUUUUUUUUUUUUUUUUGUCUUUUUAAAGCCGCGCCACGGCAUAUGGAGGUUCCCAGGCUAGGGGUUGAGUCAGAGCUGUACCUGCUGGCCUACACCACAGCCACAGCCACGCAGGAUCCAAGCCACGUCUGCAACCUACACCACCACAGCUCACAGCAACACUGGAUCCUCAACCCACUGAGCGAGGCCAGGGAUCGAACUGACUCUUCAUGGAUACUAGCUGGGUUCAUUAACCACUGAGCCACAAGGGGAACUCCCCUAAUCCCUAUCUUUAUAAAGCUGCAAAUAUUAAAACUAUAGUAGUUUAAUUAAAACAGUAUCCAAGGAGUUCCUGUGGCACAGUGGGUUAAGAAUCUGACUGCAGUGGCUUGGGUCGCUGCAGAGGCUUGGGUUUGAUUCCCAGUCCCACACCAUGGGUUAAAGGAUCCAGGCAUUGCUGCAGCUUGGCUGGAGUUUCCUUGGCCUGGAAACUUCCAUAUGGCUCUGGUGCAGCCAUAAAACUUAAAAAAGAUCCAAAAUCAUUUUUAAAAGAGAAAAAUUAUGGAUAAGAGUUGCCUUUUUUGCAACUCUUAUGGACACUACCUGGCCAAGGAUCAAAUCUGAGCCACAGCUGUGACCUGUGCCACAGCUGCAGCAAUGCCAGAUCCCUAACCCACUGUGCUGAGCUGGGGAUGAUCAAACCCAUGCUGUAGAGUUGCCUUUUUAUAGAAAACACAAGAAAAACUUAAAACACCUCAGAGACUUCCUCUGAAGAGGAAAGUAAUGUCUCAGUUUACAAGCCUAACCAAUAUAAAGAUGGAAUAGGUUUAACUGCAUGAAAAUAAAAAACUUUUCUGCAAUUUAAAAAUUUAAAGGACAGGAGUUCCUGUCGUGGCGCAGUGGUUGACGAAUCCGACUGGGAACCAUGAGGUUGCCCGUUCGAUCCCUGCCCUUGCUCAGUGGGUUAACGAUCCGGCGUUGCCGUGAACUGUGGUGUAGGUUGCAGACGCGGCUCGGAUCCCGCGUUGUUGUGGCUCUGGCACAGGCUGGUGACUACAGCUCCGAUUCGACCCCUAGCCUGGGAACUCCAUAUGCCGAGGGAGCGGCCCAAGAAAUAGCAAAA
rnacentral:lncRNA from 1 species